CCUACGGGAGGCUGCAGUGAGGAAUAUUGGUCAAUGGCCGCAAGGCUGAACCAGCCAAGCCGCGUGAGGGAUGAAGGCCCAGUGCGUCGCAGACCUCUUUUGCCGGGGGAUAAAAUGCGUGACUCGUCCUGUCCUGUGGGUACCCGGAGAAAAAGCAUCGGCUAACUCCGUGCCAGCAGCCGCGGUAAUACGGAGGGUGCGGGCGUUAUCCGGAUUAAUUGGGUUUAAAGGGUGCGCAGGCGGGCCUUUAAGCCGGCGGUGAAAUCGCGGGGCUCAACCCGGCCGGGCCGUCGGGACUGGGGGCCUUGAGUGCGCCGGAGGCAGGCGGAAUGCGCGGUGUAGCGGUGAAAUGCAUAGAUAUCGCGCAGAACCCCGAUUGCGAAGGCAGCGUGCCGUGCCGCUACUGACGCUGAGGCACGAAAGCGCGGGGAUCGAACAGGAUUAGAUACCCCGGUAGUC
rnacentral:rRNA from 1 species